rnacentral:misc_RNA from 1 species
GAUGAAGAACGCAGCGAAAUGCGAUAAGUAGUGUGAAUUGCAGAUUUCAGUGAAUCAUCGAAUCUUUGAACGCACAUUGCGCCCGCCAGCACUCUGGCGGGCAUGCCUGUUCGAGCGUCAUUUCAACCAUCAAGCCCCCAGGGGCUUGUGCUGGGGCCCUGCGGCUGCCCGCAGGCCCUGAAAACCAGUGGCGGGCUCGCUAGUCACACCGAGCGCAGUAGCACAUCUCGCUCAGGGCGUGCGGCGGGCUCCUGCCGUGAAACCCCCCACUGUAACCCCAAAGGUUGACCUCGGAUCAGGUAGGAAUACCCGCUGAACUUAAGCAUAUCAAUAAGCGGAGGA